CAAACAUAUAGGAAAGGUAAGAGCUGAGUUCAUGUUCCAGAGGGCGAAAGUCAGGACGCAGAGGUGGGUGGGACUGUUUCUGUUUGGCAUCUCUUGAGUCAGAAAAGAAGCAAGCACAUCAGAACGGCAGCAAGAGGGAUCGAGGUGAGACGGCAAGACGUUCUGACUUCCAGGGCUGCAUGUCAUCAACACGUGAGGGGCGUGUUUCCUGGAGAGGGAGAGCUGCUUACCAGCUCAGUCGGGAAGUGGGAGGAUGGACGGCCCACGGUGGGGUCUCUGUUCAGGCUUGUGUGUGAGCACCUGUGUGUGCAUCAUGUGUGUGUGCCCAGAUAUGUGUGUCCACAGUCUUUAGUGAGGCAUCUUCUGCCUCCACGGGCUCUGAGAUCUCCAGCAGUGUCUGUUAUUGCGAGCACAGGUCCCCCCGGAGAGGACUGUUUCCUUUGCUGAUGGUCUGAAAGAAUGCUGGAAGCCAAGCUUGCACAUUCUAGGCAGCCAUUUGGAAGAUUCUUCUCUGCGCAUGACCAGCUGAAAAGGAAAAACCCCGAAACAUUGGCACUGUGAUUUCUCCAUGUGAACAGUUUAGUUCGCCGAGGUGGACAUGCCUCAUUCAUGCUUAUGGAGUGACCGACCAGCCUUUAGUGACACCCCCUGAAAUGUGAGUCAUCCAUGGGUCACUAGUCAUUGGAGAAGAGCCCCUUAUACAAAACUUGGAGCUCAGACCACAAACAACAACAACAAUCCAAAAAAUAAAAAAAUGAAAAAUUAGGAGCAGAGACUAAAUGGAAAGAUGGAAAUAUUAAAAUAAAAAUAUUAUUUUAAAAAUUAA
rnacentral:lncRNA from 1 species